rnacentral:rRNA from 1 species
GACGAACACUGGCGGCGUGCUUUAUACAUGCAAGUCGAACGGUAAGGCCCUUCGGGGUACAUGAGUGGCGAACGGGUGAGUAACACGUGGGUGAUCUGCCCUGCACUUCGGGAUAAGCCUGGGAAACUGGGUCUAAUACCGGAUAGGACCACUGCCUGCAUGGGUGGGGGUGGAAAGCUUUUGCGGUGUGGGAUGGGCCCGCGGCCUAUCAGCUUGUUGGUGGGGUGAUGGCCUACCAAGGCGACGACGGGUAGCCGGCCUGAGAGGGUGACCGGCCACACUGGGACUGAGAUACGGCCCAGACUCCUACGGGAGGCAGCAGUGGGGAAUAUUGCACAAUGGGCGCAAGCCUGAUGCAGCGACGCCGCGUGAGGGAUGACGGCCUUCGGGUUGUAAACCUCUUUCAGCAUCGACGAAGCGCAAGUGACGGUAGGUGCAGAAGAAGGACCGGCCAACUACGUGCCAGCCGCCGCAGUAA